rnacentral:rRNA from 1 species
CGCGUAGGUGGUUUGUUAAGUUGGAUGUGAAAGCCCCGGGCUUAACUUGGGAAUUGCAUUCAAAACUGGCAGGCCAGAGUGUGGUAGAGGGUAGUGGAAUUUCCGGUGUAGCGGUGAAAUGCGUAGAUAUCGGAAGGAACAUCAGUGGCGAAGGCGGCUACCUGGACCAACACUGACACUGAGGUGCGAAAGCGUGGGGAGCAAACA